CUACGGGUCGCACCAGUGGGGAAUAUUGGACAAUGGGCGGAAGCCUGAUCCAGCAAUGUCGCGUGUACGAAGAAGGCCUUAGGGUUGUAAAGUACUUUCAUUGGUGAAGAAGUGAUAUAUAAUAAUACUAUAUAUUGUUGACGGUAGCCAAAGAAGAAGCACUGGCUAACUCUGUGCCAGCAGCCGCGGUAAUACAGAGGAGUGCAAGCGUUAAUCGGAAUUAUUGGGCGUAAAGGGUGUGUAGGUGGUAUUUAAAGUUAGAUGUGAAAGCCCAAAGCUUAACUUUGGAAUUGCAUCUAAUACUUAAGUACUAGAGUAUUGUAGAGGGAAGUGGAAUUUCCGGUGUAGCGGUGAAAUGCGUAGAUAUCGGAAGGAACACCAGUGGCGAAGGCGACCUCCUGGACAAAUACUGACACUGAUACACGAAAGCGUGGGUAGCAAACAGGAUUAGAUACCCGAGUAGUC
rnacentral:rRNA from 1 species